rnacentral:rRNA from 1 species
AACAGGAAACAGCUUGCUGUUUCGCUGACGAGUGGCGGACGGGUGAGUAAUGUCUGGGAAACUGCCUGAUGGAGGGGGAUAACUACUGGAAACGGUAGCUAAUACCGCAUAACGUCGCAAGACCAAAGAGGGGGACCUUCGGGCCUCUUGCCAUCAGAUGUGCCCAGAUGGGAUUAGCUAGUAGGUGGGGGAACGGCUCACCUAGGCGACGAUCCCUAGCUGGUCUGAGAGGAUGACCAGCCACACUGGAACUGAGACACGGUCCAGACUCCUACGGGAGGCAGCAGUGGGGAAUAUUGCACAAUGGGCGCAAGCCUGAUGCAGCCAUGCCGCGUGUAUGAAGAAGGCCUUCGGGUUGUAAAGUACUUUCAGCGGGGAGGAAGGGAGUAAAGUUAAUACCUUUGCUCAUUGACGUUACCCGCAGAAGAAGCACCGGCUAACUCCGUGCCAGCAGCCGCGGUAAUACGGAGGGUGCAAGCGUUAAUCGGAAUUACUGGGCGUAAAGCGCACGCAGGCGGUUUGUUAAGUCAGAUGUGAAAUCCCCGGGCUCAACCUGGGAACUGCAUCUGAUACUGGCAAGCUUGAGUCUCGUAGAGGGGGGUAGAAUUCCAGGUGUAGCGGUGAAAUGCGUAGAGAUCUGGAGGAAUACCGGUGGCGAAGGCGGCCCCUGGACGAAGACUGACGCUCAG